GACGAACGCUGGCGGCGUGCUUAACACAUGCAAGUCGAACGGAAAGGCCCUGCUUUUGUGGGGUGCUCGAGUGCCGAACGGGUGAGUAACACGCGAGUAACCUGCCCUUGACUUUGGGAUAACUUCAGGAAACUGGGGCUAUUACCGGAUAGGAGCUCCUGCAGCAUGGUGGGGGUUGGAGAGUUUCGGCGGUUGUGGAUGUAUUCGCGGCUUAUCAGCUUGUUGGUGGGGUAGUGGCUUACCAAGGCUUUGACGGGUAGCCGGCCUGGGAGCGGGGCCGGGGACAAGGGUACUACGGGAGGGACCAGUCGCCAACGGGAGGCAGUGGGGGAGAACAUGGCACAACAGGGCGGAGUCAGUGACAGCAGCGCCGCGUGCGUGAAGACGGCUUUCGAGGUAAAAACCGCUUUGUCCUUAGACGAAGCGGGAGUGACGGUAAUGAGUAAAGAAGCACCGGCUAACUACGUG
rnacentral:rRNA from 1 species